UCCAGUGCAGAUGCUGAGGUAUUUCUGGCAAAAAAAACAACACCUUUUAUGCCUAAAAGGUGUUAAGUAACAACCAGGCAUUAAUACCAGUGUACAUGUAUGUUUAUGCAUACACAUAAAAGUAUGAAUUUGAUAUUAUGUGCAGUAAAAUUUAUAUGUUGUGCUUUUUUAGCCCACCAUCAUCAUCAUCAGAUGGUGGGGACUGGGCUAUUCAAAUCACUCUGCAUCCGUGGUCGUCCUUCCAUCUGUCCGUCCAUUAACAAUUUCUUGUUAUCGCAUCUCCUCAGAAACUGCUGGGGGGAUUUUGACCAAACUUUUUUCAGAAUGAUGUAUUGGUAUCGUAGUUGUGUCCCCCUGAAAAUCGGACUGGUUCAACAAUUUUCGAGUGAGUUAUGGCCCUUUGUUUAUUUUUAUAAUUUACAUAGAUUUAUAUAGGGAAAAACUUGGAAACACUUCUUGUCCAAAUCCACAGGGCCUAGGGCUUUGAUAUUUUGUGUGUGACAUCAUCUAGUUGUCCUUUAUUAAGAUUGUUCAAACUUUUCCCCUGGGGUCAAAUAUGACCACGCCCAGGUGGUCACAUGGUUUAGAUAGACUUAUACAGGGAAAAACUUCGAAAAUCUUUUUGUCCAAACCAGAAAGCCGAGGGCUUUGAUAUUUGUAAUGUAGCAUCAUCUAGUGGUUCUCUACAAAGUUUGUUCAAAUUAUCCCCUUAGGGUCAAAUAUGGCCCGCCCCGGGGUUCACAAUGUUUCAUGUAGAGUUAUAUAGGGAAAAUCUUUAAAAAUCUUCUGGUCCGUAACCUUCAACAUUCAAAUUUGGACCACAUGUACAGUAUGAAUGGCAAGAUAAAACUUGACAUGAGUUGACCUUGAUCUUGUGACCUACUUUCACAUUUUUGUAGCUACAGCCUUCAAAUUUGCGCCACAUGCAUAGGUUUGUGUACCAAAACAAACUUUGACCCUGACAUUGACCCAGUGACCUACUUUCAGAUUUUUGAAGAUGCAGGCUUCAAAUUUGGACCACAUACAUAGUUUUGUGUUCUAAAAUGAAAUUUGACCUUGAUUUUGCCCUAGUGACGUACUUUCACAUUUCAGAAGCUACAUGCUUCAAAUUUGGAUCACUUGCAUCUAUAGUUUCGUGUUCUGAAUUGAAAUUUGACUUUGAUUUUUACCUAGUACCUACUUUCACAUUUAUCAAGCUGCAGCCUUCAAAUUUGAAGCACAUGCAUAGUUCAAGCUACAGCUUUCAAAUUUAGACCACAUGCACAGUAUUGUGUACCAAAAUAAACUUUGACCUUGAUUUUGACCUUGAGCUAGUCUUGAAAUUUGAAACAUUAAAAAAUGGCUCAAUGGUGGGCGCCGACUUGUUUAUUUGCUAAAUUUUGUAAGGAUAUUCUAUCAUUUUGAGUUUAAUCAAAGUCUACAUUGUAGAAAAAAUGUUGACCCAAGCUUCUUCUGAUCCUGAUCAGAAACCUCUACCAUACAGUUAAACUUUUAUUUUUGGCAGCAACAAUUAUGGACGGUCAGUGGGUAAAAUAAAAUAAAAGUACUAAAAAUUACUUCUAUUUUUAAUUAUUAUUUUUUUCUAUAAAAAUAGGGUUGGCGCUUCUGUAAUCCAGAAUAUUAAAAAAUGCUGGCCUGACUAUAAUUUGUUGCUGCCAGUUUUAAAAUUGUAUGUUUUUAUUUCAAUGGAUUUCAUUGUACUAUAGGAGUUGGCCAUAAAUUGGGCGAUGCUGACAGAGGUCAUACUAAGAGGAAGUUCUAAACCAAUAGGCCAGUAAUUGGGAGACCCAAGGGUUGUAGUGUUUGACUUGUUUGUGGACAAAUUGUGGUGGCCUUGUUCCACAUACAGUCCAGAUUGCUGCUGCAGAGCUGCAUUUUUCCUAAAAUGCCUAUAACUGAAAUUGCUCAACAAGUGACAGGGAUUGUUAAAACUGGUAAAACAAGCAUGUCAGUAAAUGGAAACCCUCUGUCCUGCUAACGGUCAAAGGAGCGCUGUGGAAUUUCUUUACUCGGUUACAGAAAUUUCAUAAUGUCUUCUUGCUGAAGGUUUGAUCUUCCAGUGCUGGCUACUACAUUGACCAAUAUUUACCAACUACCCACUUAUAUUACCUUCGGUUACAGUUUCCCUUCAAUAGCUGUUCAUAAUACGGUAGUCUUCAACAAGGAGAAACACAAGUCUGCAUUAUUGUAGCCCAGGAUGUGUGCAAAACAACAACAGAGGAAAAUAUUGCCAGUGCGUAACAGACCCUUUCUCAUCUUUACACCACAUUCCAUCUUAAAAGAGAGGAUAGACUUACUGUAACUUUUAACUGUGAAGAACAGUUAAGGCCAACCUAGAGUGCAAUGAAUGAAUGCUAAUAUGAAAAGAACAGUGAAAAGUGCUGUUUUUAAAUAGUGGAUUUUUUCCAAAAAGACAGAAAAAAGUACUAAAGUCAUUGUGCUGCACACAAUGGGCAUGUCUUGCUGAAUUUCUGUAGGGAAAGCAUAUUCUGUCAGCAUACACGUGGCAUGCAUGCAAUUUUUGUUUAGCUCGCCUGUGCAGAAAGUGCUCAUAGUGAGGUAUUGUGAUCACAAUGUGUCCGUAGUCCAUCAACAUUUCUGUUUAAACGACAUCUUCUCCAAAACCACUGAAUGUAUUUUGAUGAAACUUGGCCAUGACGUUCCUUGGGUGGUCCUCUACCAAAGUUGUUCAAAUGGUUCCACUUGGUUGCACAUAGGGGCUGCCAGAGCUAAAAAAAGAAAAAAAUUCAAACAUCUCCUAAACCGAUGGUCCGAUUUUGAAAUAAUUUCACACAAAUGGUCCUUAUGCUACCGUCUACCAAGAUUGUUCAAAUUAUACCGAUUUGUCAAAAAUCAUUGUCGCCAGAGGGCUUGGUCACUUUCCUCUAUUUGUAUUUAGAGGAAACUUAAAAAUUCUUCUUAUAUGAAAUUGCUUGUCUGAUUUUAAAAUAAUUUUGAACAAAUGAUCCUUAUGAGACCCUCUACCAAGAGUGUUCAAAUUAUACUGAUUCAUCAAAAAACAUGACCACCAGAAGGGGUGAUCAAUUUUCCCUAAAUGUAUAUAGUGGAAACUUUAAAAAAUAUUGUAUGAAACUGCUUCUCAGAUUUUAGAAUAAUUUUACACAAAUGGUCCUUGUUUGACCCUCUACCAUGGUUGUUGAAAUUAUUUUUUUUGUCAAAAAACAUGGCAGCAAGGUCACUUUUCACUGUAUGUAUAUAUGGUUGAAACUUUAAAAAUCUUGUGUGAAACUGCUGCCCUGAUUUUAGGAUAAUCUUACAAAUAUGUCCACCAGAGGACGUGGUCAUUUUUUCCUGUAUGUACAUAGUGGAAACUUUAAAAAUCUUUUUUUGUGUGAAAUUGCUGGCCUGGUUUUAAAAUAAUUUUAAACAAAUUGUUCUUGUGGGACCCUCUACCAUGAUUGUUCAAAUUUUUCUGAUUCGUCAAAGAACAUGGCUGCCAGAGUCUGUGGUCACUUUUCUUCUCUGAAUCAAUAAUAGUUAGAACCUUGAUAUUUGGGGCAUUAUAUCAGAUUUGUGUUCCAUAAUUAACCAGGUUUUCAACGAAAACCUGAGUUAUUAGAUUGGGGUAUGUCGUUGGGCGGGCGGAUGGCGGCGUCAAACUGGUGUUUCCGGUCAAUAACUUUUGUUUCGGUAAAGAUAUUUGAAUAAAACUUGGUAUGUAUGUAGCUUAUAUCAAGACAAAGGCUGGGAUGGAUUUUGGGGUUUCUGGGGUCAAGGUCAAGGUCACUGUUACUUAAAAUAGAAAAAGGGUUUCCAGUCAAUAACUUAACUUAGGAAUGAGCUAUCAUGAUGAAACUUGGUGUAUAGAAAACUUACAUAAAGUUGUAGCUUGGCAUUGAUUUUGGGGUUUCUGGGAUCAAGGUCAAGGUCAUUGUUACUAAAAAUAGGGUUAGGGUUAGGCUAGGGUUAGGGUUGUGCUUUAAAGUGGUGCACUGUGAUUCAGUAUACCUUUUUAUUCUUAUGAAAAGUGUUCAAGGUCAUUGUUACUAAAAAUAGGGUUAGGGUUAGGGUUGUGCUUUAAAGUGGUGCACUGUGAUUCAGUAUACUUUUUUAUUCUUAUGAAAAGUGUUGAAAACCUGGUUUCGUGGCAUUGCCGCAUUUCUUGUUGUUCAAAUUAUUUCCCUGGGUUCAGAAGUGUGUAUGACAUUUAUAUGAUAUAGGCUAACAUGGAAUAAACCUAACUCUGUACUAACACAAACACAUUUUAAGCCUUGUACACACCAGAGCCCUUUAGGGUCAUUGACCCUCUUGUUUUUAUUCUCUGCAGGGAAUCACAUGAUCAAAGUAAUCUCUAAACCAAAAUAAAUUUUAUGAAUAAUAUUGAAGAAUCUUUUGCUGUAAAUCCUAUCAUACACCAACAUACAUAGAUUUCAGUCACAAUCACAAUCACCUUCUGGUUGUCUGGAACACUUCAAGAAACUGAUACUUCUUAUUUUCCUUAGUGUUUGUAAUUACAGGAUAUCUAUCAUUAUUGUCAACUCCAUGAUAAUUUAACAAUUUUCAUUAGUCAUAUGAUAGGCUAUGUUUAAAUUUCAUAUCUUAUCAUGACCGGAAAUUUAUUCAUGUUCUUCAAAAUAUAACUUUGGUUUAGAGAUUAUUUUGAUCAUGUGAUUCCCCACAGUGUUAUUAACAGCCUUUGGCACAAGACCACAGUUAUUUGCUCUUGGUUGACCACAAUACGGAAGUGGUUACCUCUGUUUGAUGGUGAAUAUUGGUGAAUUUUUGAGUGAAAGACCUGCAAUAAAUGGCAUGAUUUAAUAGAGGAGAUAUGAAAUAGUAGGUACAUGUACAAUUUGACAGAAUGAAAAUGUCAGAAUAUGCAUAACAUGACUUUUUGAUAGGGCCUGUUUUGCCUGUUUGCGGCCAUCUAGAGAGUAUUCUUCAUACGCAUGUGAUUUGGUUCAAAAUGGUAGAAAAAAAGAGCCGGUCAGCCCAAUGUUUACUGUGGCUGGAAUUUUUUCUCUUGAAUAGUUCUGUUGAGUUCAGGUAUUUUUAUAGGGGUUGGAAUGCAUGCAAAAUUGCUAUAGUGUCCGGUGCCUAUAUAGAACAUAUAGUGAAAACAACUGUGGUCUUAGGCCUGAUAUAGUGGAAAAUGUCAGAAAGUAAAUUGUCAAUAUUUUUAUUAUUUUUCAAUCUACAUGGCUGAAAUUUUGACAGUGAAUGGCUGGUAGGCAUAGAAAUCUGGUAAAUAUUUAGAUUAAUCAUUACAUUUGCUGAAGUUGCUUCAGUUUGGGUAAAAAGUAUACAUGCACUUGAAACUUGUGAAAAAUCCUACUUUCAGUUUACAUAUUUCUGGAUUUUUUCUAAUUUUGCAGGUUUUCAUGCAUGAAAUGCAUUUUUAUAAGUUCUUUGUUUGAAACCGGUAUGCGGAAAACAAAAUGGGGUAUUACAAAUGCCGCGAUGUGAUAUUUUUUUAUUUUUUAGAAAUUUGAGCUGCGAUUGAGGAAAUUUGACCUAAAGUCAGAUAUGUAUUUUUUUCUAUUCUUGUUUACAUAAAAUUGCUCUUUUGGUUACUUGAAUUUACACAGUACACACAGUCUGAAUAGUGAAAUAUGUGUAACCAUAAUCUGUGCAAGAAAAAUCAGUUCAAGGGCUUGAAAAUUGGACAGAUUAGGCCUGAAAUUGGCAUAUUUUAAUUGAUUUUGAAGGAAAACAGGCAGAUUUUCACACACUAGACUUGCAUAUUGGUUUCCUUAAUGCUAUAUUGAGCAUAAAUCAUCAUAUCUGAGGUCCUGAAUUGUAUAUUUACUUACUCUGUUGGAUUUCUUACACUUUUAGUACACAUUUUCAGAAAAAAAAGCUGAAAACCUGAAACGGAAAUAACUUUAACUUGAAGUAAAAUGUUAAUUCGGGGUCUUCCAUACAAGAAAAUACUACAAGUUUUGGACAGAAUUUGUUUUAAUUUUCCAUGUCUGUUAUUCAACAAUAAAUAUACCUGACGUCGCUAACUGUGAGCAAACCCCUAAAUGGCGCUUGUAUGGACGCCGCCAUCUUGAAAUGGACGUCGCGUCAUUUUACAGUGUAAUUAAGUCUAUGGGGAAAAACAUAAAAUCUUGAUUUUUAACUUCAGUUUACACUUUUUCAAAAAACUGGAAAAGGUGCCUAGAGAUAUUAACCGUCUGGUAUUAAUGAUGUCAUUUUAUUGGAGGUCCAAAAUUAGACAUUUAGGAGACUUUGUAUUGCAUAGUAAUAUUUCAUUCACUUGUCAAUUUGUGUAAUUUAUGGGUUAUAUUUACAAAAAAAGUAUUUUUUGAAAGAUGGUUAAAAGGCACAACAUUUGCAUUUCAUUUCAGUAUAGGAAUCAACUAAUAAUAACACAAAGGUUUAAGAGAAUGCCAAGAUAAUGUUGAAGAUAUUGAACAAAAAUUCAAAUUUAGAACAUUCAUUCAAGUUUUCUUGUUUUAUGCCUUUGAAGAUUGUAGCUUUCUCAUCAAACUUGUUUGCCCACCAGAUCUAUAUUGAAGUCUGUUCAAGUUGGAAAUGAACAUUCUUGAUUCAUCUGAAAUAUUUGACUUCUAUACGCUUGAAGGGACGUAUUAUGUUAUAUCCCUCGAGUCCGUCUAACCGUUCGUCCAUUAACAAUUUCGUGUCCGCUCUGUAGCUCUUGAACCCCUUGAAGGAUUUCAAAGAAACUUGAUACAAAUGUUCACCACACCGAGACGACAUGCAGAGCGCAUGUUCCGGAUGACUGGCUUCAAGGUCAAGGUCACACUUAGGGGUCAAAGGUCAUAUAAGUGUGUUUCAUGUCUGCUCUAACUUUUGAACUGCUGGAAGGAUUUCAAAGAAACUUGGCAAAAAUGUUCACCACACCAAGACGACGUGCACAUGUUCCGGAUGAAGGUCGAGUUCAAGGUCGUAGGUCAUAUAUGAAUUGCUUUUUGUCGAGCCCCCUUGCGGAAGCGAAGACAUAGUUGUCCAAAUGGUUGUUCGCUGUAUGUGAGUGCAUCCAUGCGUCUGGAUUUGUUUGUCCGGACCAUAACUUUGACAUGCAUGAAGCAAUCUUGUUUAUAUUUGGCAUGAAUUUAAACCUCAGUAAGGCGUAGUGUCAUGCACAAACCCCAGGUUUUAUCUCAAAGGUCAAGGUCACACUUAGAGAUCAAAGUUCAUAUUCAAUAAUGACAUUGUCUGGAACAUUUCUUCUUCAUGCUUGGAGGAUUUUGAUGUAACUUGGCAAAAUGGUGACGGACUGUCAUCCGCAAGAAUCCGGUCUCUAGGUCUAAGGUCAAGGUCACACUUAGAGGUCAAAGGAUACAAGAAUGACAACUUUGUCAGGAGAAUUUCUUUUUCAUGCAUGGAGGGAUUUUGAUGUAACUUGGCACAAAUGUUCACUACCAUGAGACGGAGUGUCAUGCACAUGAACUAGGUCCUUAGGUCUAAGGUCAAGGUCACACUUAGAGGUCAAAGGUCAGAUACAAGGAUGACAUUGUCCAGAGCAUUUCUUUUUCAUGCAUAGAGAUUUUGAUGUAACUUGGCACAAUUGUUCACCAUCUUGAGAUGGAGUGUCAUUCACAGAAAUCUAGAAUUACUUCCCUUUGCUGUUACUAUUAAUAGGUUAUAUUGUAACUUUUCCAUUACUGGUCAUAGGGAAAAAUUAAGACCACUUUUCUGAAGUACAACAUGCAUGUUACAUCCAAUUUUGAGGUGUAUUUUGACCUAUCUCUACUUGUAAGGACCCGCCCGCUUAGCUCAGUAGGUAAGAGCGUUGGUCUACAGAUCUCGGGGUAGCGAGUUCGAUCCUCGGGCGGGGCGUAUGUUCUCCGUGACUAUUUGAUAAACGACAUUGUGUCUGAAAUUAUUAGUCCUCCACCUCUGAUUAAUGUGGGGAAGUUGGCAGUUACUUGCGGAGAACAGGUUUGUACUGGUACAGAAUCCAGGAAUACUGAUUAGGUUAACUGCCCGCCGUUACAUGACUGAAAUACUGUUGAAAAACGGCAUUAAACCCAAAACAAACAAACAAACUACUUGUAAGGAUUUACUUCCCUUUGUUGUUACUACAUAAAAUCAUCAGUAGGCAGACAUGUAACAUAACAUUACUGGACCACUGAUUCAGAGAGAAUAUAUUUUUAUGUAUAAAAUCAUCAGUAGGCAGACAUGUAACAUCGCAUUACUGGACCACUGGUACAGAGAUAAUAUGUUUUUAUGUAUAAAAUCAUCAGUAGGCAGACAUGUAACAUCGCAUUACUGGACCACUGGUACAGAGAUAAUAUAUUUUUAUGUAUAAAAUCAUCAGUAGGCAGACAUGUAACAUCGCAUUACUGGACCACUGGUACAGAGAUAAUAUAUUUUUAUAUAUAAAAUCAUCAGUAGGCAGACAUGUAACAUCGCAUUACUAGUCCACUGGUACGGAGGAGAAAAUAUUUUUAUGUAUAAAAUCAUCAAUAGUCAGACAUUAAACAUAGCACUACUGGACCUUUCAUACAAAGAAAAUAUAUUUUUACAUGUGAAAUCAUCAGUAGGAAGACAUGUAACAUAGCACAAUUUUCAUUGUUUUAACAUCUUCGAUAUAGUUUCAUCACUAUAAUUUCAAAUUGGUUGCUAUGUCCUGAACUUGUAUUUGCGCUAAAAAAAAUAAUGAAAAAGAUUUUAUCAGUACACUUGAUGGCGCACUCACCAGCAUGAUUUGACUAAAAA